CGCCUGGGGAGUACGGCCGCAAGGUUAAAACUCAAAUGAAUUGACGGGGGCCCGCACAAGCGGUGGAGCAUGUGGUUUAAUUCGACGCAACGCGAAGAACCUUACCUGGCCUUGACAUCCAGAGAACUUUCCAGAGAUGGAUUGGUGCCUUCGGGAACUCUGAGACAGGUGCUGCAUGGCCGUCGUCAGCUCGUGUCGUGAGAUGUUGGGUUAAGUCCCGUAACGAGCGCAACCCCUAUCCCUGGUUGCUAGCAGGUAAUGCUGAGAACUCCAGGGAGACUGCCGGUGACAAACCGGAGGAAGGUGGGGAUGACGUCAGGUCAUCAUGGCCCUUACGGCCAGGGCUACACACGUGCUACAAUGGCGCGUACAGAGGGCUGCCAACUCGCGAGAGUGAGCCAAUCCCUUAAAACGCGUCGUAGUCCGGAUCGGAGUCUGCAACUCGACUCCGUGAAGUCGGAAUCGCUAGUAAUCGCGAACCAGAAUGUCGCGGUGAAUGCGUUCCCGGGCCUUGUACACACCGCCCGUCACACCAUGGGAGUGGAUUGCACCAGAAGUAGUUAGUCUAACCUUCGGGAGGACGAUUACCACGGUGUGGUUCAUGACUGGGGUGAAGUCGUAACAAGGUAACCGUA
rnacentral:rRNA from 1 species